rnacentral:rRNA from 1 species
GACGAACGCUGGCGGCGUGCUUAACACAUGCAAGUCGAACGCUGAAGCUCAGCUUUUGUUGGGUGGAUGAGUGGCGAACGGGUGAGUAACACGUGAGUAACCUGCCUCCUUCUUUGGGAUAACGCCCGGAAACGGGUGCUAAUACUGGAUAUUCACUGGUCUUCGCAUGGGGGUUGGUGGAAAGGGUUUUUCUGGAGGGGGAUGGGCUCGCGGCCUAUCAGCUUGUUGGUGGGGUGAUGGCCUACCAAGGCUUUGACGGGUAGCCGGCCUGAGAGGGUGACCGGUCACAUUGGGACUGAGAUACGGCCCAGACUCCUACGGGAGGCAGCAGUGGGGAAUAAUGCACAAUGGGCGCAAGCCUGAUGCAGCGACGCCGCGUGAGGGAUGGAGGCCUUCGGGUUGUGAACCUCUUUCGCUCAUGGUCAAGCCGCAACAAUGGUUGUGGUGAGGGUAGUGGGUAAAGAAGCGCCGGCUAACUACGUG